rnacentral:rRNA from 1 species
UACAGAGGUCCCAAGCGUUGUUCGGAUUCACUGGGCGUAAAGGGUGCGUAGGUGGCCGGGAAAGUUUGAUGUGAAAGCUCGGAGCUUAACUCCGAAAUGGCAUUGAAUACUAUUCGGCUGGAGGGUCGGAGGGGAGACUGGAAUUCUCGGUGUAGCAGUGAAAUGCGUAGAUAUCGAGAGGAACACCAGUGGCGAAGGCGGCUCACUGGCCCGGUACUGACGCUGAGGUGCGAAAGCGUGGGGAGCAAACAGG